rnacentral:rRNA from 1 species
UACGAAGGGGGCUAGCGUUGCUCGGAAUCACUGGGCGUAAAGCGCACGUAGGCGGCUUCUUAAGUCAGGGGUGAAAUCCUGGAGCUCAACUCCAGAACUGCCUUCGAUACUGAAGAGCUUGAGUCCGGGAGAGGUGAGUGGAACUGCGAGUGUAGAGGUGAAAUUCGUAGAUAUUCGCAAGAACACCAGUGGCGAAGGCGGCUCACUGGCCCGGUACUGACGCUGAGGUGCGAAAGCGUGGGGAGCAAACAGG